ensembl:lncRNA
UAAACAUGAAAUAUCAGUGUGUGACCUUAUGGUACUCAUAAGUCACAUAAACCUGACAGUGUCCUCACAAGUAGCAUUAAAUUCAGGUUUGACCAAAAUUUCACCCUAGCCAAAAUCUCAACAGAUGGGCGUGUUCCUGGAAGCAUGGGUCAAACUUUGUGUGAUUCCCAUGCCUCUAGGACCUUCAGAAAGGCACGUUCCCAUUUGUCACAUUUUUGUCAUAGGUCCUGAUAUUUCACGAAAACACGUAUGUGUGUGUGUGUGUGUGUGUUUGUUUACUGCAUUUCCAGCAGUAGGCCAGCAGGUCCUGCGUCAUGCAGUGAUGUGAAACCUUUGACAGCAUUAAAACAAGAGCUUUAAUUUAGUUGUUCAGUAAAUUGUCCUUGAAAUGUUAUCAGUUUAUAUUGGUAAGCUUUUUUGACAUUUUGAUCACAGAUUGUUUUAGGGAACAAGGGAUAUCUUCAGUAUGAAGAAAGAUGAGGUUUCCUGCUAGGGCUUUACAGAGGUGAUACUGUGCAUAGAUAAGUUCUGUAUUUAGCGAAGAACAUUAGUCAUUACUUAUUUCUGUCCAUGACACACUUCUUGCCCUUACAAUAGUGUGACUUUGUUUUAAUUUUCUGGGGGACUGGUGUACUGGUGUACUACACUCGCACCAGAUUGCCUAUAAGGAUGGGUGUUUAUUAUCGCACAGAAAACAGUUAAUUUACAUGAUCACACUCUGUGUACUUGACAAAAGUGACAAGGUUAAUGUAAAUGAUGAAUAUUUAUGUCUCAAUGGGAGAUUUAUUGUAAACUUAAUUUCUCUUAUUUAAAUUGUCUCUUAACUAUUGUGUUUACACAUUUUCAAACUGUAGAACUAGAUCUCGGUUUGUGUAAAUAUAAGAUUUUUUUUCACAAUUUUCAGCUUCCUGAUCCUCCUAAUAUUAGCAGGAGACUUUUUUUAUUGUCCUCUUGGCAAAAUUUCAUUUAUGAAGUAGAGACUUGAGAAUUAAAAGGGUCUUGCCAAAAGAAAAGAGCAUUUAGAUGUUUGUCACUCCUAUUCAGGGUGAUCUUGUAAGAAAAUAAAUUUUACUUAGCUUCACAAAAAUAGUGAAGCUCCUACAAAAUGUAUACAUAAUUUCUAAGCUCAAUACAUUUUGAACUAAUUAUGUAAAAAAAAAAUACAUAAAUAAAACAGGCCUGUUAGUUCAAAGAAGGUGUGUUUAAAAGCCCCGUACUACUUGAACAGUUUCACUGCACCUCCCUCAAAGUGGUAUUUUCCAUCUCUGCUCUGUAAUGCAGGAAGUACUCAUGCAUGGGUGUCAUUUCUCACAGAUGAGUUGUUCCCAGUUCCAGUUGAGUGCUCGUAAGUGGGUCACUGCCUCAGCCUGUGCUGCUGUGUGCAUCCAUUAAAUUAAAGGAAACUCAUCCAAACCUACAAACAUAAAAAGGCAUCCCUCCUGCACACCCUGUAAAGAGUGCUAAGGAAUACAGCUCUACCAAACAAGGAAAGGAAAGGAAAGGAAGAAAUGUAUAGUCAUUUUUAAAGAUUAAAAUCACAACGUGGCUUAAUGAAGAGCAUGGAGCAGUUUCUUAUCAUUGUGCUUGUGGCAGGGGGAAUUCAUGCUCACGUUUCAGUUGAUGAGACUACGUGUGACCUCAGGACGAACGCAUGCUCUCCUCUUCUUGAAGGAACUGUGUAUAUCCAAGUGAUGACUGAUGCUAGUGGCCGUGAACUGAAAUGUUUGAGGGUGCUUCCCAAGGGGAACAUAACUGUGUUCAAUAUAAAGAAAGAAAAAAUAACAAUGACAGACAAGGAAUUUAACAACAGACUAACGUUUAUAAUCAAGAACGGGACACUCAAGAUCUCAAACCUGAGGAGGGAUGAUUCAGGUCAAUACAGUGUUGAGAUUUUUAAUUCAAAUGGAAUCCACGAGAAAAACGUUCUUUUCACCCUGUAUGUUAAAGACGAUGGCAAAAUUAAAGUAGCAGGAAUUUUACCAUUGAUGGGUGGUGUUCUCUCAGCACUGAUAAUUUUCUUAGUUGUGUGUGUAGCAGUCAUCUUUGCUUGGAGAAAAAAACAAAACAACAAACCUACAAAACAUGAAGAGGAACAUGACCAAGCAAUAACGUAUGCUGAUGUCAGGUUCACUCAACAGCAAGGGAGGCAAGUUGCGCAAACAGAGGAGAUAGAGGUGGAGGCAGAGUAUGCCCAUGUCAAUUCUUCAAAGUGACCUUGGCAGACUGAACCAACAGGAGAUGAUUGUUUGUUUGCCAAGGUUCAUAAAAUCAAGGGAUUUCAGUGAAAUCAAUGCUUUUACACAGACUGCACCACUGAAGGUCCACCGAGGGAGGAGGUGAUGUCAAGAUGCUCCAAGAUGAGGUCUUUCAUAUAAUGUAAUGUCACAUCACACAAAUCGUCAAAGCUCAUAAAAUCUUGUCUUUCUAACUUUCACUGUUUUUCCAAAUUACAGCAGGACAUAUGUGUAUCCUAUAUUAGGUUACCGCUAGGUUUGACUGCAAGUACUGUGAAUGUUUUUUUGUAAACAAAGGUUAUGACUGUAAUAUAACAUAACAUGAAUUUCAAUGCAAAAAUGUUUGGGCAGUGAUGAAACAUCCAGAUGCUAACAGCUUCUCCUGUAGUUGCAGAUAAUUUCCAGUGUAAACAAAGACACUUUCCUCACCUUUUUAAAUACAAAAUAUGGUUAAAUAUUUCUAUAUAGCACUAAAUGACCAUCUCAAGAAACAUUACACAUUAAAUCCUUAGAGUAUUACAGAUUUUAAUACUGUCAAACUACUUGUUAUAGUAGUAAUAACAUUGUUAAUAAUGUAUUGUCAUCAGUCUGGGAUCUAGGGAUGGCAAAUUUUCAACACUGGCAAUAACCUAGGAUAUAGUUUAACACAUACUUUAAAUGUUUUGACAGUUACCAGUGUAUUUACAAUCAGCCUCAGUACAAAUAUCAAGAAAAUGUUCAAAGUCAGAAUAACAGUUAUGCAGUUCAACUCUGCUUCUACAAUCACACAGUUGAUUUUUUUUUUGUUACAUUUGCAUGUUAGAGCUUCUUCUUUACUGCACUGUAACAAUAUAUUUGCAAAAUGGACUAACAUUUAAACAAUGAAUUUGCUCAUUAUAGACAUAUUUACAAUGAUUGACAUGCAUGACUGAAAGAUACUUGCUUGAAUGGUUAAUUUAUGAUGCCUUUAAUUAGCACUUUCUAAUAAUGUCACACUAUUAAGCAUUGGCAUUAGUGCUCAAUUCAUUAUUUAUAUGCCAUUACUCCUCCUUAGUAAUUGGUUCUGAGCCGCUUCUUGUCUGGAGUGCUGAUGGACAAGUUGAUGAUGUAAGGCUGGAGACUCUGCGGACUAACAUGUUCACAGAGCUGAUAUGAUAGGAAAAGAUGUUAGGGAUAGAAAGACACAAGAUGGAGCGUGGUGAUUACCUGGGACGGCCCCUAAAAGUAUCAGAUGGAAGAAGAAGAGGUAAUCCUGAGCUGUCCAGACAGUUUAUAAUAAAACAUCAGAGUUCAGGGUUAAACCUCAUCUUCUGUUUCUGUCCUCUUAUUUUACUGUCUUAUUUCCUAUAUGCUGUAUUGUAUAUAAAUGUAAUCAUGAACACAGACAAAUAUUGUACAAACUGCUUGUAUUAAAAAAAAAAAUGAAUUCAUUAAAAUAUGUGCUGUAGCCUGUUCAUCAGUCCAGAUUUAAAUAUACUCAAACAGAAGAAAAUAACAAAACUGAAUAAAAGAAUAAAAGUGAGGA